rnacentral:rRNA from 1 species
CCUACGGGGGGCAGCAGUGGGGAAUAUUGCGCAAUGGGCGAAAGCCUGACGCAGCGACGCCGCGUGAGGGAUGAAGGUUUUCGGAUCGUAAACCUCUGUCAGCAGGGAAGAACGGUCACUGUGCUAAUCAGCAGUGAAUUGACGGUACCUGCAAAGGAAGCACCGGCUAACUCCGUGCCAGCAGCCGCGGUAAUACGGAGGGUGCGAGCGUUAAUCGGAAUUACUGGGCGUAAAGCGCUCGUAGGCGGUAUGUCAAGUCAAGGGUGAAAUCCCCGGGCUCAACGUGGGAACUGCCUUUGAAACUGGCGAACUGGAGUGUAGGAGAGGAGAGUGGAAUUCCAGGUGUAGGAGUGAAAUGCGUAGAUAUCUGGAGGAACAUCAGUGGCGAAGGCGACUAUCUGGCACAUAACUGACGCUGAGGAGCGAAAGCGUGGGUAGCAAACAGGAUUAGAUACCCGGGUAGUC